AGCGAACGCUGGCGGCAGGCUUAACACAUGCAAGUCGAGCGGGCAUCUUCGGAUGUCAGCGGCAGACGGGUGAGUAACACGUGGGAACGUACCCUUCGGUUCGGAACAACUCUGGGAAACUGGAGCUAAUACCGGAUACGCCCUUAUGGGGAAAGGUUUACUGCCGAAGGAUCGGCCCGCGUCUGAUUAGCUAGUUGGUGGGGUAACGGCCUACCAAGGCGACGAUCAGUAGCUGGUCUGAGAGGAUGAUCAGCCACACUGGGACUGAGACACGGCCCAGACUCCUACGGGAGGCAGCAGUGGGGAAUAUUGGACAAUAGGCGCAAGCCUAUCCAGCCAUGCCGCGUGAGUGAUGAAGGCCUUAGGGUUGUAAAGCUCUUUUGUCCGGGACGAUAAUGACGGUACCGGAAGAAUAAGCCCCGGCUAACUUCGUG
rnacentral:rRNA from 1 species